rnacentral:rRNA from 1 species
CCUACGAGGGGCAGCAGUGGGGAAUAUUGCACAAUGGGCGCAAGCCUGAUGCAGCCAUGCCGCGUGUGUGAAGAAGGCCUUCGGGUUGUAAAGCACUUUCAGCGGGGAGGAAGGCGGUGAGGUUAAUAACCUCAUCGAUUGACGUUACCCGCAGAAGAAGCACCGGCUAACUCCGUGCCAGCAGCCGCGGUAAUACGGAGGGUGCAAGCGUUAAUCGGAAUUACUGGGCGUAAAGCGCACGCAGGCGGUCUGUCAAGUCGGAUGUGAAAUCCCCGGGCUCAACCUGGGAACUGCAUUCGAACCUGGCAGGCUAGAGUCUUGUAGAGGGGGGUAGAAUUCCAGGUGUAGCGGGGAAAUGCGUAGAGAUCUGGAGGAAUACCGGUGGCGAGGGCGGCCCCCUGGACAAAGACUGACGCUCAGGUGCGAAAGCGUGGGGAGCAAACGGGAUUAGAUACCCUAUAGUC